ensembl:snRNA U6 U6 spliceosomal RNA
GUGCUCAGUUUGUCAGCACAUAAACUUGGACAACACGGGGAAAAUUGGCAUGGCCCCUGCACAAGGAUGACAUGCAAAUUGUGAAGCAUGCCACCCUUUU